rnacentral:rRNA from 1 species
UACGGGGGGGGCAAGCGUUGUUCGGAAUUACUGGGCGUAAAGGGCGCGUAGGCGGCCUGCUAAGUCACACGUGAAAUCUCUCGGCUCAACCGGGGAACUGCGUGUGAUACUGGCGGGCUUGAAUUCGGGAGAGGGAUGUGGAAUUCCAGGUGUAGCGGUGAAAUGCGUAGAUAUCUAGAGGAACACCGGUGGCGAAGGCGGCAUCCUGGACCGAGAUUGACGCUGAGGCGCGAAAGCUAGGGGAGCAAACGGG